GCUCUGGAUUGUGGUCUGGACCCUAAGGAAGAGAGAAGACAUGCAGGGCUGGGCUUCUAAUCCUGUGACCACCAAGGGGGGGAGAAGACCACUGCAGGUGCAGUUUCUCGAGGUAGAAAGAACCCUCCUGACCUCGGAAUCUUCAAUCGGCUGGCUUUGGCAGAAGCGCAGUGUUUACUUGGGCCUGAUUAAGCAGCAGUGAGCCUCAGGCCCAGCCUACAGGGGAGUUGGGGUUCUGUGCACCCUGUGGUGAGAGAGUGGGCAAAUUAUAGCUGGAUAAGGGGAGAUGGCCUUUCCCCAAAAUCCUGCGCUGGGGGACAGGGCCCUGGCUUUUACAACUUCUACCUCAGGCAGGUGUAGUACCAAUGAGUCCCUGUUGUUUCAGGGAGCUCCCAUCCCCCUGUGGCACAUGGCAGGAAAGAGGUACAAACAAGGGACUGCACUUGGUGAAGAGGCCAACUGCUGCUGACUGUCCAUCGGCUUGGGCUAAGGGACUUUUGGCCUUUGAUGGAGAAUGCCCUGAGCUUAGCAGCAACUAGGCACAAAAGAUCAAAAAGUGCUCAACUGCGGAACAGAUGUGAUGCCACACACCUGUGAGCCAAACCCUCGGAGUUGGAAGCAGGAAGACGCUGAGAUUCCCGGACCAGCCUGGGCUAUACAGAGAGAACCUACUCCAGAUGAAUGAAGCAACAGCAACGAAGAGUCAAGUCCCAAUUACGUAAAUGUGUGAGUGUGUGUGUGUGAGUGUGUGUGUGUGAGUGUGUGUGUGUGUGGUGUGUGUGUGUGUGGCAUGUGUGGUGUG
ensembl:lncRNA